GUGUCAGCCGCCGCGGUAAUACGGAGGGUGCGAGCGUUAAUCGGAAUUACUGGGCGUAAAGCGCAUGCAGGUGGUUUGUUAAGUCAGAUGUGAAAGCCCGGGGCUCAACCUCGGAAUUGCAUUUGAAACUGGCAGACUAGAGUACUGUAGAGGGGGGUAGAAUUUCAGGUGUAGCGGUGAAAUGCGUAGAGAUCUGAAGGAAUACCGGUGGCGAAGGCGGCCCCCUGGACAGAUACUGACACUCAGAUGCGAAAGCGUGGGGAGCAAACAGGAUUAGAUACCCUGGUAGUCCACGCCGUAAACGAUGUCUACUUGGAGGUUGUGGCCUUGAGCCGUGGCUUUCGGAGCUAACGCGUUAAGUAGACCGCCUGGGGAGUACGGUCGCAAGAUUAAAACUUAAAUGAAUUGACGGGG
rnacentral:rRNA from 1 species